AACGAACGCUGGCGGCAGGCCUAACACAUGCAAGUCGAACGCCCCGCAAGGGGAGUGGCAGACGGGUGAGUAACGCGUGGGAACCUACCUCUUGGUGCGGAAUAACUUCGGGAAACCGGUGCUAAUACCGCAUACGCCCUCCGGGGGAAAGAUUUAUCGCCGAGAGAUGGGCCCGCGUCGGAUUAGCUAGUUGGGGAGGUAAAGGCUCACCAAGGCGACGAUCCGUAGCUGGUCUGAGAGGAUGAUCAGCCACACUGGGACUGAGACACGGCCCAGACUCCUACGGGAGGCAGCAGUGGGGAAUAUUGGACAAUGGGCGCAAGCCUGAUCCAGCCAUGCCGCGUGAGUGAAGAAGGCCUUAGGGUUGUAAAGCUCUUUCGACGGGGAAGAUAAUGACGGUACCCGUAGAAGAAGCCCCGGCUAACUUCGUGCCAGCAGCCGCAGUAA
rnacentral:rRNA from 1 species